GGCCUGGUGGUGUAGCGGUAACGCAUCCUCUAUUAUUACGCAAGCGGUUCUCCACUGUUCCGAGGAAUCUCCUUGUUCGAAUCGAGGCCAGGCCA